AUUGAACGCUGGCGGUAUGCUUAACACAUGCAAGUCGAACGGUAACAGGCCUUCGGGCGCUGACGAGUGGCGGACGGGUGAGUAACGCGUAGGAAUCUGCCUCAUAGUGGGGGACAACGUGGGGAAACUCACGCUAAUACCGCAUACGCCCUACGGGGGAAAGCGGGGGAUCUUCGGACCUCGCGCUAUGAGAUGAGCCUGCGUUAGAUUAGCUAGUUGGUAGGGUAAAGGCCUACCAAGGCGACGAUCUAUAGCUGGUCUGAGAGGACGAUCAGCCACACUGGGACUGAGACACGGCCCAGACUCCUACGGGAGGCAGCAGUGGGGAAUAUUGGACAAUGGGCGCAAGCCUGAUCCAGCAAUA
rnacentral:rRNA from 1 species